rnacentral:lncRNA from 1 species
AGAGUAAAAGAUUGACUAGACCCCAAAGGUAUGUAUUAGGGUUAGUCGGAUGAACUCUAAGUAUAUGUGUUAGAGUUCGAAUGAAUUUAAUAUCAUUUAACUGAAUUUUAAGUAUAUAAUUUAGAACUCUGUCAAUUUGGAGAUAUUUUGCUUUAGUAUAUGUGCUAAGGCGGGUGGGGUUGACUUAACCCUAAGUACAUGUAUUAGGGGUAGUCAAUAUUUGAUUUUUACUCUAGGUAUAUAUGCUAGAGUAAAGAGGUUUAUGAUGAACUUGGUAUGGUUUGGUUUAUGGGGUUUGGUUUAUGGUUCAUGAGAUUUGGUUCAUGAACUUGGGUAUGGUUCAUGGGAUUUGGAUUUCAUGAGCUUUGGUAUAUAGUUCAUGGUUCAUGAACUUGAUUCAUUUGGUUCACGAACUUGGUUUAUUGUUCAUGAGAUUUGAGUAUUGGAUUUGAUUUAUAAACUUGAAUAUGGUUCAUUGGGUUUGGCAUAUGAGAUUUGGUUUAUGGACUUGGGCAUGGUUCAUAGGAUAUGGUGUAUGGUUCAUGAGAUUUGGUUUAUGGAUAUGAUUCAUAGUUUAUGGUUUAUGAAUUUGGUGUAUGGUUAUAAAUUCGAUUACGAAUUUCGAAUCAAUCAACAAAAUAUCCUCCAACCAUCCAACAACUCAUUCAAAAUUCGAUUUCAAAUUUUGAAUUUCCAACCAAUCCCAAAUAUCUUUCAACCAACCACAACAACCUAUUCAAAAUUCAACUUCGAAUUUUGAAUCCCUCAAAAUAUCUCUCACCACCCCUCCCAUUAUAAAUACGAGAAUCGAGAUCAAUACGGGGGACGAUACGAUAGA